rnacentral:sRNA from 1 species
GAUCGCGGUCACAGGCUCUCCUCCUCCCAAGCCUUGUGACUGUGUGCCGGCGGGGUUCUUCUCCUCCCAAACCCUGCCUGCUGAAACAGCGCCCGCCAGUACCUCCUCCCACUGGCGGGCGUUCGUU